GCUACCCUCUCUUUGCUUUUGAAGAGACCUACUGUGAGUAUCUGUCCAGAAAAUUCACUGGGUUAAAAAAAAAUUGAGGUAAUGCACAACUGAAAGCCAGUGUGAAGGUGUUGCUAACUUGUUGAAGCAGAGCUUGGAAUAACAGAUGAAAACUGUCAGAAAAGCUGUGAUGUACUUUGGAUGUGAGUGAAAAUUGUGACCAAAAUCUGAGCCUGCCCAAACCCUGAGUUACGUGCCAAAAUGCCCAGGAUUCCUUGGAUCAUCGUGCAAACUGAUAGGGGUCACUUCCUGGUACAACAGCGGCUGAAUGUGCAUUAAAUUUGAAGAAGAUAUAUGUAUACAGUACAAACAGUGCAGGAUGAGUCACACCUGUGGCUUUGCUUACCUGAGCUCUGAAACGAUUUCUGGAGUGUCUACAACAGCAUUCCUCCUGUGACAAACUUGCCUCUGAGAUGUA